GCGCUAGGAAGUGGUGGUGCUGGUGGGAUAUUCCCUGGCAGUGGUGGC
rnacentral:rRNA from 1 species